ensembl:lncRNA
GUUGUUGUGGGAGCAGCUGUGGUUGUUGUGGGAACAGCUGUGGUUGUUGUGGGAACAGCUGUGGUUGUUGUGGGAACAGCUGUGGUUGUUGUUGGAGCUGCUGUGGUUGUUGUGGGAGCAGCUGUGGUUGUUGUGGGAGCAGCUGUGGUUGUUGUGGGAACAGCUGUGGUUGUUGUGGGAACAGCUCUGGUUGUUGUUGGAGCAGCUGUGGUUUUUGAAGUAGCGACUGUGGUUGUUGUGGGAGAUUCUGUGGUUGUUGUGGGAACAGCUGUGGUUGUUGUGGGAUCAACUGUGGUUGUUGUGGGAGCAGCUGUGGUUGUUGUGGGAGCAGCUGUGGUUGUUGUGGGAGAUUCUGUGGUUGUUGUGGGAGCAGCUGUGGUUGAUGUGGGAGCAGUAGUGGUUGUUGUUGGAGUAUCUGUGGUUGUUGUAGCAGCUAUGGUUGUUGUGGGAACAGCUGUGGUUGUUGUUGGAGCAGCUGUGGUUGUUGUGGGAGCAGCUGAGGUUGUUGUUGGAGCAGCUGGUGUUGUUGUGGAAGCAGCUGUGGUUGUUGUGGGAGCAGCUGUGGUUGUUGUGGGAAAAUCUCUGGUUGUUGUUGGAGCAGCUGUGGUUGUUGUGGGAAUAGCUGCGGUUGUAGUGAGAGCAGCUGUGGUUGUUGUGGGAGCAGCUGUGGUUGUUUUGAAUGUAUCUGUGUUUGUUGUUGGAGCAGUUGUGGUUGUUGUUGGAAGAGUUGUGGUUGUGGUUGGUACAUCUGGGGUUGUUGUCGGAGUAGCCGUGGUUGUUGUGGGAACAGCUGUGGUUGUUUUUGAAGUAUCUGUGGUUGUUGUUGCCCCAAUUGUAGUUGUCGUUGGAGCUUCUAUGGUUGCUGUGGGAGAAGCUAUGGGGUUGUGGGGAUGGCUGUGGUUGUUGUGGGUGCACCUUUGGUUGUUGUGGGUGCACCUGUGGUUGUUGUGGGUGCAGCUGUGGUUGUUGUGGGAAUAGUUGUGGUUGUUGUUGGAUAUGCUGUUGUUGUUGUGGGUGCAUCUGUGGUUUUUGUGGUAGAUGAUGUGGUUUUUGUUGGAGCAGCUGUGGUUGCUGUAGGAGCAGCUGUGGUUGUUGUGGGAGCAGCUGUGGUUGUUGUGGGAUAGGCUGUGGUUGUUGUUGGAGUAGCUGUGGUUGUUGUGGGAGCAGCUGUGGUUGUUGUGAGAGCAGCUGUGGUUGUUGUGGGAGCAGCUGUGGUUGUUGUGGGAGAUUCUGUGAUUGUUGUGGGAGCAGCUGAGGUUGUUGUUGGAGCAGCUGGGGUUUUUGAAGUAGCGACUGUGGUUGUUGUGGGAGAUUCUGUGGUUGUUGUUGGAGCAGCUAUGGUUGUUGUGGGAGCAGCUGGGGAUUUUGUUGGAGCCGCUGUGUUUGUUGUGGGUGAGGCUGCGGUUGUUGGGAGAGCAGCUGUCGUUGAUAUGGGAGCAGCUGUGAUUGUCGUUUGAGCAGCUGUGGUUGUUGUUGGAACAUCUGGAGUUUUUGUCAGAGCAGGUGGCGAUGUUGUUGGAACAGCUGUGGUUGUUGUGGGAGCAGCUGUGGUUGUUGUGAGAGUAGCUGUUGUUGUUUGUGGAACUGCUGUGGUUGAUGUAGGAGCAGCUGUGGUUGUUGUAUCCACAGCUGAAGUUGGAGUUGUGGCUGCUGGGGGUGGUGUUGGUACAAUCACC